AGGAUGAGGUGGAAUCUCCAUCCCCUACCCAUUUCCCCAUUUUAAUUUUUGGGAAAUUAUCAUUUUACUACCAAAGUUUUACUGACAUAUCAUGUCAGUACCAAGGUUUGCCGAAAAGUGCAUUUUACUACCAAAGUUUUGCGCCGUUAUCAAUUCACUACCAUUCCGUUAAGAAAAAGUUAAUGUUUAACGGAAAUUGAGUUAAAAGUCAAUUUUACCCUUAAGAGUUUGGUAGUAAAAUGAUAAUUCUCCUAAAAAUUUGGUAGUAAAAUGAUAAUUCCCCUAAAAACUUGGUAGUAAAAUGAUAAUUUAUCUAUCAAAUUAACAAACAAUUUUACUCUUACAGCUGGAAAUGUCUUAGAUACCCUUAUGACAUCAGCAAACUUUUAACGUUGUUAACGGAACGGUAGUAAAUUGAUAAUGGCGCAAAACUUUGGUAGUAAAAUGCACUUUUCGGCAAACUUUGGUACUGACAUGAUAUGUCAGUAAAACUUUAGUAGUAAAAUGAUAAUAUCCCUUAAUUUUUUAAAAUUACUAG
rnacentral:lncRNA from 1 species